AAAUACCGCAUAACACUUCCGAAAGGCAUCUUUUGGAAGUCAAAGAUUUAUUGCUGAAGGAUGGGCUCAUGUCUGAUUAGCUAGUUGGUGAGGUAACGGCUCACCAAGGCGACGAUCAGUAGCCGGUCUGAGAGGAUGAACGGCCACAUUGGGACUGAGAUACGGCCCAGACUCCUACGGGAGGCAGCAGUGGGGAAUAUUGGGCAAUGGGCGAAAGCCUGACCCAGCAAUGCCGCGUGAAGGAAGAAGGCCUUCGGGUUGUAAACUUCUUUUACCGAGGACGAACAAAUGACGGUACUCGGCGAAUAAGCUCCGGCUAACUACGUG
rnacentral:rRNA from 1 species